rnacentral:ncRNA from 1 species
ACUAACAGUAAUCUCCGAGCGUGCUGACCUAAAUCUACAAGGAUAUGGUCAACAAGCCAUUGGGUUGAGCAGGAAACUGCCAGGCCUCCCGUAUUUGGAAAGGAGAUUUCAAUAAUGUAUA